CUAGGUGCAGCUGUGUUUGACUUUGACGGGCUGUAUAAAACUCAGAAUAGGGGGGAGGUAUCUGUUUUCAGUCUGUUUUUUGUAAAUUCAGCUCAAAAAUAGCCAGUAGUCAAUGGGUUAAAAGUACGUGUAUACGCUUUGUUUUAUCGUCUUUGUUUUCUUUGCGGCCGGUGCAAUUUUUUUGGCUAAUGUUCCAAAGUAAUGAAAAAUAACACAUUCCAAAAUUAUCCAAAAUCCGGUUUAAACUUGGUGGUAAUAUUUCGUGAUUUCAUCAUGUUGGCGUUGGUGAGGACUCAACGCUACACUAAAACCACUUAAGAUAAUGUUCCAUUAAUUAAAGACACAUUUAUCGACAUUUAUAUAAUACUAGUGGUUACCCGUGAAAUAUUCACGAAAAGCAAUUCUUUGUUGUACAAAACUUUUUAAAGGUAUAUUUCAAUCCUUUAAUGUAUUGGGCUUCCUGGUGCUUUAGGGGAAUAGUAUGCGUCGUCGUAAACAUUAAUUUAACAAAUGCCUUCCUUUUGAGUCCCCAAUACAUUUAUCUCAUAUUUAAUUUACCUUAUAAAAAUGUGAAAAGGCGCUUUCUAUAAAAUACUGCACGCCCCGUCCACCUUUUCCUAUAUCCGUGUUGGGAACCCUGUGAAUGAUGUUUUUGGCGGGAAUCGGACAACCAAAUUCAAACCAUGGCAGUUCGCACGUUCAUAAAUCCUCGCUUCGUUGGCUGUAAUUUUAGGUGAAAAAUUAGGCCAACCCAGAACAAAUUGCAACCAUGGCAGUUCGCACGUUCAUAUGUUGGGUUUUGUGAAUAAGAGGAUGGAUCGUUAAUCCUAGUUUCGUUGGCUGUCAUUUUAGGUGAAAAAUUAGGCCAACCCAGAACAAAUUGCAACAGUACAAAUCUCAACGGAUUAAGACUAUUUUUAUCACUCUAAAGCCGCAUUAUCACCAGCUUUCCGGAGGUCCGACGCAAACCGUCUCAACCGUUAAAA